GACGAACGCUGGCGGCGUGCUUAACACAUGCAAGUCGAACGGAAAGGCCCUGCUUUUGUGGGGUGCUCGAGUGGCGAACGGGUGAGUAACACGUGAGUAACCUGCCCUUGACUUUGGGAUAACUUCAGGAAACUGGGGCUAAUACCGGAUAGGAGCUCCUGCUGCAUGGUGGGGGUUGGAAAGUUUCGGCGGUUGGGGAUGGACUCGCGGCUUAUCAGCUUGUUGGUGGGGUAGUGGCUUACCAAGGCUUUGACGGGUAGCCGGCCUGAGAGGGUGACCGGCCACAUUGGGACUGAGAUACGGCCCAGACUCCUACGGGAGGCAGCAGUGGGGAAUAUUGCACAAUGGGCGGAAGCCUGUUGCAGCAACGCCGCGUGCGGGAUGACGGCCUUCGGGUGUUAAACCGCUUUCGCCUGUGACGAAGCGUGAGUGACGGUAAUGGGUAAAGAAGCACCGGCUAACUACGUG
rnacentral:rRNA from 1 species